CGCUACACAUAUACUUUUUAAGUGAAAAUCAUGCAUAUAUUUAACAUUUAAGGUGCCCAGCUUCCCUAGUAAGGGGCUCGGCAAAAUAAUCAUCACGUCAUCUCCGUCAUCAUCAUCAUAACCAUCCUCAUCACCAAUCAUAUAUAUAAUAUACAUAUCCGGCCCUCUAGUGAGGAACUCGGUGACAUAUGCAAGAAACUCCGCACGAACAUUACCCGGCCCGGGACUCAGUGAAAUGAUAAAUGACUCUAUGCACGAGCAGAAUAUUAUGAGCAACCAUAUGCAAUUAAAAUCAUUUCUUAUAACUCAAUAGAACAAACAACGUGAACCAGCAAGGAGUAUUACCAAUGAUUAAUGUUUUAUCAAGAUUAUGAACCUUUAAUACGAUAUGGAAACGUAAAAUCUCAAUGACUCUAAGAAGCACUACCAUAGAUAUGAGAGAUCAUCAUAGCCUUAGCAUAGCCGAUAUAUAGAGGAAUAAUUGUGGAAGCAAGAAUAUACGUCACCUAGACUCUCUAGAGGUAAGUAUCAAACCUGUCUGUUAUUCGCUUAUUUUUAAAAGUCAUGCCAAACAAAGAAAGAAGGGAGAGCGUUACAUACCGUAUAAUCGAGCCGCACGUCCAAUAUUUACUGCUCAAGCUAUUAAUCUAUAACAAGCAACAAUCGUGCCGCAAUUAGAUAAACAUCGCGCUUUACUU
rnacentral:lncRNA from 1 species